UUAUCCGUGGCAGAAAACAAUGCAUAGAAUUUAAGCUUCUAGUAUAAGAAAUUAUUUCUUCGGAGAAA
rnacentral:tRNA from 1 species